rnacentral:lncRNA from 1 species
UUCAGAUAAAUCUUGUAUGAUAAUUUGGGUAUAUGUAAGUUAGGUUUAUUUGAAUUUCUUUUUCAAACCUUGGCAGGAUAUUGCUUUUAAACUAACCGGUACAACAAGAAUUAGGAUUUUCAAACCUUGGCACGACAUUGCAUUUAAACUAACAGCCACAAAAGAAAUUAGGAAUCUUAGUCACAAUUGACUUAGUAAUAAACAUCCUCCAAUAGUAACAACUACUAUAACAAAUCAAAAGUUUUCUAUUAAAGUAAUUCAUGAUGGUGGUAAUCAAAGUUUUCUUUCAAGCUCACUAAAUUCAAACUUUAAAAUUCAAAAUUUCACCCCUUGACAAGCAUUCCUUUCCAAGCAUACCAUAUUAGGAUCCAAUGGAAACUCGAAAUUGUAUCAAAUUCUGAAGUAGGCUAAACAUCUCUCUUGGAAGCCAUUUUUGCCAAACGCUCAACCUCUUCCAACACACCUAGAAACUGAUAUGAAAAAAGAAUUUAUAAGAACUCUUAUUUUUCCUUAAGUGCACAAUUAAAAUAUGAGUGUUGUGUUUACCCACCGGUGUAUACUGAGGAAAAUUCUGUCUUCCAUGAUACAUAGCAACAUUCGAAUGUGAUGAGAAGUUGACUGCCGGUGGAAAUUGGGGAAAUAUUGGAAUACUUUGACUUGCGGGUGGAAAUUGUGGAAAUAUUGGAACACCGUUGGCACUGGUAAAAUAAUUUGGAACAUACGUCGAACCAUGGUUCCAUGUUACAUUUUGGGCUUCCAUUUUAACAGGGGAUUUGUUAUAUACAAGAUUGUGCUUUUAACCAUGGUUCCAAGACUAAAGUUUUAUUUUUUCACAUUCGUUAAU